rnacentral:rRNA from 1 species
CCUAUGGGCGGCAGCAGUGAGGAAUAUUGGUCAAUGGCCGGAAGGCUGAACCAGCCAAGCCGCGUGAGGGAGGAAGGCGCAGAGCUUCGCAGACCUCUUUUGCCGGGGGACAAAAGGCCGGACUCGUCCGGUCCUGAGGGUACCCGGAGAAAAAGCCUCGGCAAACUCCGUGCCAGCAGCCCCGGUAAUACGGGGGAUGCGAGCGUUAUCCGGAUUCAUUGGGUUAAAGGGGUGCGCAGGCGGUCUGUUAAGUCAGCGGUCAAAGCCCGGGGCUAAACCCCGGCCCGCCGUUGAAACUGGAAGUCUCGAGUUGGAGAGAAGGAUGCGGAAUGCGCGGUGUAGCGGUGAAAUGCAUAGAUAUCGCGCAGAACUCCGAUUGCGAAGGCAGCAUGCCGGCUCCACACUGACGCUGAGGCACGAAAGCGUGGGUAUCGAACAGGAUUAGAUACCCGAGUAGUC